CAUAGGAACACCAAAAGACAAGGAUUCUUUUGGGGAUGUAUUUGAAGAUGAUAAUUUUGGAGACAUAAUUAUUGACCAUCCCUUGAUUUUGAAAAUUAUUGAAACGAAACAAUUUAAGAGAUUAACUGAUAUCAAAAAAUUAGGCUACACACAUCACACAUUAAGAGCAACAUACUCAAGACAU